AAUUUUAGCUCAUUUUAAGGCCAAGGUUGGAAAAAAAUAGUAAAAAGCUAAAAAUUGUUAGAUGCAAUAAUUUAACUAUCCUGAACAAUAUACUAAAAGUCCCCAUGUAUCCUCUUGUAGCUUUUUCCAUUAUGACAAGGUUUUUUCGAUUUCCCUAUUACUCCCAUAUUGUUAAAAAACGUGAAAUUUCAAGUUCACUCGUAACAAAAAUGACUCGCAUCACUAGAAAGCUCAUAAAAAAACUACAUAUAAGACAUUUUUUAAACAGUCACCUAAAUUUUUCAAGCGGUUUUCGAGUUAUUGCUGUUCCAAAUGUGACAAAUAGGCCAAAAUCUGGCAAAAAUCCUGGGUACUAGUCUAACAACACGUUUCCAACAGCUCAUAACUCAAGAAGAACUUGCAAAAUCAAGGUAGCCGUUAAAUGUCUUAUAUGUAGUUUUUUGUAAGUUUUCUAAUGAUGUAACUUAUUUUUCCUAUAAAUGAAUCUGAAAUUUCACUUUAUUAACAACAUAGGCAUAGCAGUUCACUAGGGAAAUCGAACAAAAAACUUUUCAUAAUGGAGAAAGUCCAAGAGGAUACAUGAGGACUUUUAGUAUGUUAUCAAGGUUGCUGAAGAGAGUGCAUACGCUAAUGUUUGGCUUUUUACUAAUUUGUUCAGACCUAUUUUCUAUUUUGAUUGUACUAUUUGGUGUCAUCUCCUUGAAAUUCGAGUACCUGCUUGAGCUGCGUAGUUGAAUAAUUAUUGCAGGAAUGCAGUUUCGUUUUCACGAAACAAAAGAGUGCUUUUGAAGCAGGAAACCACGCUUGUCCAUUUUGAAACGUUUUCUCGAGCAAAUCCAGCGUAAAAGUUAAGCAGAAUUUGUCAAGAUGGUGAUGUCUAGAAGUACAGCAGUUGGGUCGAUAGUAACAGGCUCUAUCAUGCUCGGUUUUGCAAUUCUUGCCGUGAUAUGUGGCGCAAUUUCAGCCAGUAAGCUGUCUGGCGAGGUUGCAGCCUCGGCUGGUCUGUGGUCGCUCUAUGU